rnacentral:rRNA from 1 species
GUGGGGAAUUUUGGACAAUGGGCGUAAGCCUGAUCCAGCAAUGCCGCGUGCAGGAAGAAGGCCUUCGGGUUGUAAACUGCUUUUGUACGGAACGAAACGGUCCUGGUUAAUACCUGGGGCUAAUGACGGUACCGUAAGAAUAAGCACCGGCUAACUACGUGCCAGCAGCCGCGGUAAUACGUAGGGUGCAAGCGUUAAUCGGAAUUACUGGGCGUAAAGCGUGCGCAGGCGGUUUUGUAAGACAGGCGUGAAAUCCCCGGGCUCAACCUGGGAAUUGCGCUUGUGACUGCAAGGCUGGAGUGCGGCAGAGGGGGAUGGAAUUCCGCGUGUAGCAGUGAAAUGCGUAGAUAUGCGGAGGAACACCGAUGGCGAAGGCAAUCCCCUGGGCCUGCACUGACGCUGAGGAGCGAAAGCAUGGGGAGCGAACAGGAUUAGAUACCCCAGUAGUCC